GAUGAACGCUGGCGGCGUGCCUAAUACAUGCAAGUAGAACGCUGAAGGAGGAGCUUACUUCUCUGGAUGAGUUGCGAACGGGUGAGUAACGCGUAGGUAACCUGCCUGGUAGCGGGGGAUAACUAUUGGAAACGAUAGCUAAUACCGCAUAAGAGUAGAUGUUGCAUGACAUUUACUUAAAAGGUGCAAUUGCACCACUACCAGAUGGACCUGCGUUGUAUAGCUAGUUGGUGGGGUAACGGCUUACCAAGGCGACGAUACAUAGCCGACCUGAGAGGGUGAUCGGCCACACUGGGACUGAGACACGGCCCAGACUCCUACGGGAGGCAGCAGUAGGGAAUCUUCGGCAAUGGACGGAAGUCUGACCGAGCAACGCCGCGUGAGUGAAGAAGGUUUUCGGAUCGUAAAGCUCUGUUGUAAGAGAAGAACGAGUGUGAGAGUGGAAAGUUCACACUGUGACGGUAUCUUACCAGAAAGGGACGGUUAACUACGUGCCAGCCGCCGCGGUAA
rnacentral:rRNA from 1 species